CACCUGGGGAGUGCGGCCGCAAGGUUAAAACUCAAAUGAAUUGACGGGGGCCCGCACAAGCGGUGGAGCAUGUGGUUUAAUUCGACGCAACGCGAAGAACCUUACCUGGCCUUGACAUGCAGAGAACUUUCCAGAGAUGGAUUGGUGCCUUCGGGAACUCUGACACAGGUGCUGCAUGGCCGUCGUCAGCUCGUGUCGUGAGAUGUUGGGUUAAGUCCCGUAACGAGCGCAACCCCUAUCCCUAGUUGCUAGCAGUUCGGCUGAGAACUCUAGGGAGACUGCCGGUGACAAACCGGAGGAAGGUGGGGAUGACGUCAGGUCAUCAUGGCCCUUACGGCCAGGGCUACACACGUGCUACAAUGGCGCGCACAGAGGGCUGCAAACCCGCGAGGGGAGCCAAUCUCACAAACGCGUCGUAGUCCGGAUCGCAGUCUGCAACUCGACUGCGUGAAGUCGAAUCGCUAGUAAUCGUGAAUCAGAUGUCACGGUGAUA
rnacentral:rRNA from 1 species